GCUUCCUUAGCUCAGUUGGUAGAGCAGCUGACUCUUAAUCAGCGGGUCGGGGGUUCGAGUCCCCCAGGGAGCA
rnacentral:tRNA from 1 species